rnacentral:rRNA from 1 species
AUUGAACGCUGGCGGCAGGCUUAACACAUGCAAGUCGAGCGGUAGCACAAGAGAGCUUGCUCUCUGGGUGACGAGCGGCGGACGGGUGAGUAAUGUCUGGGAAACUGCCUGAUGGAGGGGGAUAACUACUGGAAACGGUAGCUAAUACCGCAUAACGUCGCAAGACCAAAGAGGGGGACCUUCGGGCCUCUUGCCAUCAGAUGUGCCCAUAUGGGAUUAGCUAGUAGGUGGGGUAAUGGCUCACCUAGGCGACGAUCCCUAGCUGGUCUGAGAGGAUGACCAGCCACACUGGAACUGAGACACGGUCCAGACUCCUACGGGAGGCAGCAGUGGGGAAUAUUGCACAAUGGGCGCAAGCCUGAUGCAGCCAUGCCGCGUGUGUGAAGAAGGCCUUCGGGUUGUAAAGCACUUUCAGCGAGGAGGAAGGUGGUGAACUUAAUACGUUCAUCAAUUGACGUUACUCGCAGAAGAAGCACCGGCUAACUCCGUG